GCUCCAAUCUGCGGUGUGUACGAUACGCUUUCUUUGAGUCGAGUUGUUUGGGAAUACAGCUCAAAGUAGGUGGUAAAUUCCAUCUAAAGCUAAAUAUUGGUGCGAGACCGAUAGCGAACAAGUACCGUGAGGGAAAGAUGAAAAGAACUUUGAAAAGAGAGUUAAAGAGUACCUGAAACUGUUGAAAGGGAACCGUAUCGUUUCCAGUGUUGUAUCCUAUGCAUAUUUCAUUCGCGGAGUAAUUUGCGGGUGCCCUGUGCAUGGGUGUGACGUCAGGGUCAGUUUGUAUGCUGCGGGAGAUGGUCAGUGAGGAGGUGCGUCACUUCGGUGAAAGUUAUAUCUCGCUGUCUAGUAGCCGUGGUUGAGACUGAGGUGCCUACAACAUGCCUUAAGGUUCCGUGUUGUCUCGUGUUGGUGACUGCUUUGAUAGCUUGCUAUGUCUGUGGUUUAUCAGUGCGAUUGAUGAUGCGGAUAACUUUUGCUGUUCGGGACUCUGGCGAAAUGGAGCGAUACGACCCGUCUUGAAACACGGACCAAGGAGUCUAACAUGUGUGCAAGUAUUAGGGCGUGGAAACCCAAAUGCGUAAUGAAAGUAAAUGCUGCUUAUGCAGCUGUGGUAGGAAAGGGCUGUCAAGGUCCUGGCACUAUCGACCGAUCAUGAGCCUACGGGCAAAAGAUUUGAGUAUGAGCAUAUAUGUUGGUACCCGAAAGAUGGUGAACUAUGCCUGAAUAGGGUGAAGCCAGGGGAAACUCUGGUGGAAGCUCGUAGCGAUUCUGACGUGCAAAUCGA
rnacentral:rRNA from 1 species